rnacentral:rRNA from 1 species
CCUACGGGCGGCAGCAGUGGGGAAUAUUGCACAAUGGGCGCAAGCCUGAUGCAGCCAUGCCGCGUGUGUGAAGAAGGCCUUCGGGUUGUAAAGCACUUUCAGCGGGGAGGAAGGCGUUAAGGUUAAUAACCUUGUCGAUUGACGUUACCCGCAGAAGAAGCACCGGCUAACUCCGUGCCAGCAGCCGCGGUAAUACGGAGGGUACAAGCGUUAAUCGGAAUUACUGGGCGUAAAGCGCACGCAGGCGGUCUGUCAAGUCGGAUGUGAAAUCCCCGGGCUCAACCUGGGAACUGCAUUCGAAACUGGCAGGCUAGAGUCUUGUAGAGGGGGGUAGAAUUCCAGGUGUAGCGGUGAAAUGCGUAGAGAUCUGGAGGAAUACCGGUGGCGAAGGCGGCCCCCUGGACAAAGACUGACGCUCAGGUGCGAAAGCGUGGGGAGCAAACAGGAUUAGAUACCCGAGUAGUC